GACGAACGCUGGCGGCGUGCUUAACACAUGCAAGUCGAGCGGUAAGGCCUUUCGGGGUACACGAGCGGCGAACGGGUGGGUAACACGUGGGGGAUCUGCCCUGCACUUCGGGAUAAGCCUGGGAAACUGGGUCUAAUACCGGAUAUGACCUCCUAUCGCAGGUGGGGUGGGGGAAAGAUUUAUCGGUGCAGGAUGGGCCCGCGGCCUAUCAGCUUGUUGGUGGGGUAUUGGCCUACCAAGGCGACGACGGGUAGCCGACCUGAGAGGGUGACCGGCCACACUGGGACUGAGACACGGCCCAGACUCCUACGGGAGGCAGCAGUGGGGAAUAUUGCACAAUGGGCGAAAGCCUGAUGCAGCGACGCCGCGUGAGGGAUGACGGCCUUCGGGUUGUAAACCUCUUUCAGCAGGGACGAAGCGCAAGUGACGGUACCUGCAGAAGAAGCACCGGCUAACUACGUG
rnacentral:rRNA from 1 species